rnacentral:rRNA from 1 species
UACAGAGGGUGCAAGCGUUAAUCGGAAUUACUGGGCGUAAAGCGCGCGUAGGUGGUUGGGUAAGUCGGUUGUGAAAUCCCCGGGCUUAACCUGGGAAUUGCAGUCGAUACUGCUCGGCUAGAGUGUGGAAGAGGGAAGCGGAAUUUCCGGUGUAGCGGUGAAAUGCGUAGAUAUCGGAAGGAACACCAGUGGCGAAGGCGGCUUCCUGGUCCAACACUGACACUGAGGCGCGAAAGCGUGGGUAGCGAAC